rnacentral:rRNA from 1 species
GUCUUAAUUGGGCGUUAAGUUGCAGGGUAUAGACCCGAAACCCGGUGAUCUAGCCAUGGGCAGGUUGAAGGUUGGGUAACACUAACUGGAGGACCGAACCGACUAAUGUUGAAAAAUUAGCGGAUGACCUGUGGCUGGGGGUGAAAGGCCAAUCAAACCGGGAGAUAGCUGGUUCUCCCCGAAAGCUAUUUAGGUAGCGCCUCGUGAAUUCAUCUCCGGGGGUAGAGCACUGUUUCGGCUAGGGGGCCAUCCCGGCUUACCAACCCGAUGCAAACUGCGAAUACCGGAGAAUGUUAUCACGGGAGACACACGGCGGGUGCUAACGUCCGUCGUGAAGAGGGAAACAACCCAGACCGCCAGCUAAGGUCCCAAAGUCAUGGUUAAGUGGGAAACGAUGUGGGAAGGCCCAGACAGCCAGGAUGUUGGCUUAGAAGCAGCCAUCAUUUAAAGAAAGCGUAAUAGCUCACUGGUCGAGUCGGCCUGCGCGGAAGAUGUAACGGGGCUAAACCAUGCACCGAAGCUGCGGCAGCGAACGUAUCACUUAAAGCGAUUCAGCGGGUUACGAUUGACGGAGCGAAGCGACGUCAAAGCGUAUACAAAGUCGAGUCGGUUUAAGGAUACGUUCGUUGGGUAGGGGAGCGUUCUGUAAGCCUGCGAAGGUGGCCUGUGAGGGUUGCUGGAGGUAUCAGAAGUGCGAAUGCUGACAUAAGUAACGAUAAAGCGGGUGAAAAGCCCGCUCGCCGGAAGACCAAGGGUUCCUGUCCAACGUUAAUCGGGGCAGGGUGAGUCGACCCCUAAGGCGAGGCCGAAAGGCGUAGUCGAUGGGAAACGGGUUAAUAUUCCCGUACUUGGUGUUACUGCGAAGGGGGGACGGAGAAGGCUAUGUUGGCCGGGCGACGGUUGUCCCGGUUUAAGCGUGUAGGUGUGUGUUCCAGGUAAAUCCGGUU